CAAUCUCAAUUAUUAAACUCUUUCUUCCUUUGCUUUUCUUUUUUUUUAAUUCAAGAAAUUGUAAAUUUUGAAUGACAAAAUCCCACAAAAGUUAAAUAUCAAACCAUCCUUUCUUACGAUAAGUACACUGCUGAUCACUUUGUUGGGUUUCCGAUUCAUCUCUUGUGCCUCUGGAUGAAAGGUGAAUUUUCACAUCCUCCUCUGUAAGGCCAAGAG
rnacentral:misc_RNA from 1 species